CCUGUCUUGAAAAAAAAAAUCAAACACAAAAACUCAGGAUUAUAGAAACAAAACACCUUAGGAGUAUGCCAAGGGGGAAGGGAGAAGAUAGACUGGGGUAGGCAUUUAUGGUGUUGACAUAGGAGAAGGGAGAGGAUGGACUGGGGAGGCAUUUAUGGUGCUUGCCAUGAGAGAAGGGAGAGGAUGGACUGGGGAGGCAUUUAUGGUCUUGAGGAAGCUUCUGCUCCCUUUCUUUGAGGUCAUCAGUACAUACUCAUCACAUAUUCUGGUACCUUCUAUGUGUUUCACAACAGCUCAGGAUUGCCAGGAAAAACAAGUCUGAGUGCUCUAGGAAGUCCGGAUUCAGCGGUGGAGCAGCCCCCAGACUCAGCAAGACAACGGCAAUAAAAGGGUUUAAAGAGGCCUCACUAAAGGAAGACACCAUAGACCCUGGGGAUGGGGCGGAAGCUUCAAGCCAUGGACUUCCCACCUCUCAUCUCUAGGUCCUGAAGCCACGUGGACCUGGCCAGUUCCAGACUUCUUCCACAGCUGGAGCCACAAGAAAGCUCUCGUAAAGAGGCUGGUUCCCAUCCUGACAGGAGACAGCCUGACCCACCUCGGCCAUUUACAUACUUCUGACUGCAGAGAGAGGGUUCCCCACAGUCAUGUCUGAACACCUCCCACCACUGAACCCUGAGCCUGGCACUAAUCCUGUGCUGAGCAAACCUCUGGAACAUGGACACAAUGAAGCCAGGGGAGGCAGGACCAUGAAGGCUCAUGGAAGUCCUUGGGAACCAGUGGCUGAACAUCUGUUUCCUUCCAUGGAGUUUGAGCACAGCCAGGGCUCUGUGGUUUCUGAAAUACAUUGCACCCAUCUCUGCCUCCUCA